CCAUUUGUUGAUGAAACAAUACUGAUUUUGGAGGAUCUUUGAGAGCGAUAUAAAAUUCAUCACAAGCUUCAGUACACUGAUGAUGCUUUAGUUGCUGCAGCAAAGCUGUCCCCGCAAUAUAAGCUAGCUGUGGAAGCCAGAGAAGUUGAGAAAGAGCUUAGAUAGCUUUGUACCCCAAAUCAAUUUAUUAUGCCCUUCUGUAAUGGCUUACUUUUUUCU